UACGUGGGGGGCAAGCGUUGUUCGGAAUUACUGGGCGUAAAGGGCUCGUAGGUGGCCAACUAAGUCGGACGUGAAAUCCCUCGGCUUAACCGGGGAACUGCGUCUGAUACUGGAUGGCUUGAGUUCGGGAGAGGGAUGCGGAAUUCCAGGUGUAGCGGUGAAAUGCGUAGAUAUCUGGAGGAACACCGGUGGCGAAGGCGGCAUCCUGGGCCGACACUGACGCUGAGGAGCGAAAGCCAGGGGAGCAAACGGG
rnacentral:rRNA from 1 species